GUUUGGAUGGCUCAGUCGGUUGAGCGUCUGACUUUGGCUCAGGUCAUGAUCUCACGGUCUGUGGGUUUGAGCCCCACAUCGGGCU
rnacentral:tRNA from 1 species